CGGUGACAGGUGGUGCGAUGGUUGUCGUCAGCUCGUGUCGUGAGAUGUUGGUUAAGUCCCGCAACGAGCGCAACCCCUAUUGUUAGUUGCCAUCAUUCAGUUGGGCACUCUAGCGAGACUGCCGGUAAUAAACCGGAGGAAGGUGGGGAUGACGUCAAAUCAUCAUGCCCCUUAUGACCUGGGCUACACACGUGCUACAAUGGUUGGUACAACGAGUUGCGAGUCGGUGACGGCGAGCUAAUCUCUUAAAGCCAAUCUCAGUUCGGAUUGUAGGCUGCAACUCGCCUACAUGAAGUCGGAAUCGCUAGUAAUCGCGGAUCAGCACGCCGCGGUGAAUACGUUCCCGGGCCUU
rnacentral:rRNA from 1 species